GACGAACGCUGGCGGCGUGCCUAAUACAUGCAAGUAGAACGCAGUUGCGAACGGGAGAGUAACGCGUAGGUAACUGCAUGGUAGCGGGGGAUAACUGUUGGAAACGAUAGCUAAUACCGCGUACUACCAGAUGGACCUGCGUUGUAUUAGCUAGUUUGUUAGGUAACGGCGCACCAAGGCAACGGUACAUAGCCUACCUGGGAGGGUGGUCGGCUCACCUGGGAAUGGGACAAGGCUCAGACUCCCACCGGAGGGAGCAGUUGGGGAUCUUCGGCAAAUGGGGGAAAGCCUAACGAGCCAAGGCGCGUGGGUGAAGAAGGGUUUCGGAUCGUAAAGCUCUGUUGUUAAGGGAGCGGUACUUAACCAGAAAGGGCCGGCUAACUACGUGCCAGCCGCCGCGGUAAUAC
rnacentral:rRNA from 1 species